rnacentral:misc_RNA from 1 species
GAUGAAGAACGCAGCGAAAUGCGAUAAGUAGUGUGAAUUGCAGAAUUCCGUUAAUCAUCGAAUCUUUGAACGCACAUUGCGCCUUCUGGUAUUCCGGAAGGCAUGCCUGUUCGAGAGUCAUUAACAACCGUUUCGAUCCCUUUCUUUCAGAAAUUACAAAGAGGAAAAGGGUUUGGUUAUGGUGGAGGAGGGAAAGGGAGCGUUUAGCCUGUAAAAAAAGAGGCUGUGUUCCGCCUCCCCCCCAAAAUUGUACAGGCGGUCGUGUGCGCCCACGCAUCGAGGUGUUGUAAAAGCUGCCACGGCACUUUUCACCUGUGCAGUGCGAGAUUGGCCAGCCGGUUUAAAAACCCCUCCAAACAAUCAAAGGUUGACCUCGGAUCAGGUAGGGAUACCCGCUGAACUUAAGCAUAUCAAUAAGCGGAGGA